rnacentral:rRNA from 1 species
GGGGCCGCACAAGCGGUGGAGCAUGUGGUUUAAUUCGACGCAACGCGAAGAACCUUACCAGGGCUUGACAUCCCCUGACCGCGUAUGAAAGUACGUUUUCACCCUCGGGUGACAGGGAGACAGGUGGUGCAUGGUUGUCGUCAGCUCGUGUCGUGAGAUGUUGGGUUAAGUCCCGCAACGAGCGCAACCCUUACGUUUAGUUGCUAACAGGUGAAGCUGAGCACUCUAGACGAACUGCCGUUGACAAAACGGAGGAAGGUGGGGAUGACGUCAAAUCAUCAUGCCCCUUAUGUUCUGGGCUACACACGUGCUACAAUGGCCGGUACAGACGGACGCAAAGCCGCGAGGUGGAGCAAAUCCUAAAAAGCCGGUCUCAGUUCGGAUUGCAGGCUGCAAUUCGCCUGCAUGAAGUCGGAAUCGCUAGUAAUCGCAGGUCAGCAUACUGCGGUGAAUACGUUCCCGGGCCUU